rnacentral:tRNA from 1 species
GCCCGAGUGGUGAAAUCGGUAGACACAAGGGAUUUAAAAUCCCUCGACGUUCGCGUCGUGCCGGUUCGAUCCCGGCCUCGGGCACCA